UACGUAGGGGGCAAGCGUUGUCCGGAAUCAUUGGGCGUAAAGAGCGUGUAGGCGGUCCGGUAAGUCGGCUGUGAAAGUCCAGGGCUCAACCCUGGGGAUGCCGGUCGAUACUGCCGGACUAGAGUUCGGAAGAGGCGAGUGGAAUUCCCCGGUGUAGCGGUGAAAUGCGCCAGAUAUCGGGAGGAACACCGGUGGCGAAGGCAGCCCCCUGGGCUGACACUGACGCUCAGGCACGAA
rnacentral:rRNA from 1 species